rnacentral:rRNA from 1 species
UAGUAUUCAAUUGUCAGAGGUGAAANNCUUGGAUUUAUUGAAGACUAACUACUGCGAAAGCAUUUGCCAAGGAUGUUUUCAUUAAUCAAGAACGAAAGUUAGGGGAUCAAAGACGAUCAGAUACCGUCGUAGUCUUAACCAUAAACUAUGCCGACUAGGGAUCGGAUGAUGUUAAUUUUUUAAUGACUCA